rnacentral:rRNA from 1 species
AGUGAACGCUGGCGGCGUGCUUAACACAUGCAAGUCGAACGAGAACGGGUUAUAGCUUGCUAUAAUUGUCAGCUAAGUGGCGCACGGGUGAGUAAUGUAUAGGUAAUAUGCCUCUUACUAAGGGAUAACAAAUGGAAACGUUUGCUAAUACCUUAUACUCCUUAUUAACAUAAGUUAAUAAGGGAAAGAUUUAUUGGUAAGAGAUUAGCCUGUAUUGUAUCAGUUAGUUGGUGGGGUAAUGGCUUACCAAGACUAUGACACAUAACUGGUUUGAGAGGAUGAUCAGUCACACUGGAACUGAGACACGGUCCAGACUCCUACGGGAGGCAGCAGUGGGGAAUAUUGCACAAUGGACGAAAGUCUGAUGCAGCAACGCCGCGUGGAGGAUGACACAUUUCGGUGCGUAAACUCCUUUUAUAUGAGAAGAUAAUGACGGUACCGUAAGAAUAAGCACCGGCUAACUACGUGCCAGCCGCCGCCGUAA